GGGGACGCGUGGUUCGACAGAGGAGGUUGGCGACAGAGCUGCAAGCCGAGGUGCCGUUGCCCUCGUAAAACUGAUGGCAAAAAACAAAUGCUGAAGAACCAGUAUUAGUUGCCGCUUAAUUAAUUAAGUGACACGUUCACCCCGUCCCCACCCCGACGGGAUGGGAGUGAGCGAAGAAAAGCCGGGGUGCUGUUGUCCUGACUCCGGUAUGGAUGACUUAAGAAAAAUCCGGAUGACCUGGUGGAACUCGGUCGGCAGAGGUCCGGCAGGUGAAACAAAGAGUCGACUAAGCUUGUAGUAAACUCUGAGCGGUUUCUUCUGGACGGGGAGUUCAACUCUCCCCCGUCUCCACCA
rnacentral:tmRNA from 1 species